GGUCAUUCUCCAAUUUUUCCUUGAUUUUGGAGAGGUGGUUCUGCAUGAUGCUGAUCCUAGUCUGAGGACAUUUUUUCGUUCAUGUUUGAGCCGGUAAUGAUAUGCAAUAUUUUUUGUUCUCAAUAUAUAUUUUUCUUGUUUGUCAUAUAAGUU